rnacentral:tRNA from 2 species
GCGCCCAUAGCUCAACUGGAUAGAGCGUCUGGCUACGGACCAGAAGGCUGCGGGUUCAAGUCCUACUGGGCGCGCCA